rnacentral:lncRNA from 1 species
GAAGACGAAAAUAUAUACAUAUAUAUAUAUAAUAUGAUAUUUAAAUGGUUCAAUGGAUAGAGUGCUUGGAGCUUGGAAGACUUGAGUUAGAAUCAAGCAUUAGACAUUUACCAGCUGUGUGUUCCUAGACAAAUCACCUGACCCUGUUUGUCUCAGUUUCCUCAUCUAUAAAAGGAGCUGGAGAUGGAAAUGGCAAACUACUCUAUGAUCUUUGUCAAGAAAACUCCAAAUGGGGUUAUGAAGAGUCAGAACUGACUGAAAUUACUAAAUAAUAACAAUAAUAUUAUUUAUACACAUAGACAUGAAGACAUACAAUGAUAUAAAUUAACAUAGAAUAAUAAAAAUAUGACUAAAUAUAUAUACAUAUGUAUUGUUUUUAUUUAUAUAUAACAUAUGAAUAUAUAAAUUACUUUUUAUUUUGUGAAUAUUAAAUUUAACACUCUCCUGAUUAUAACAAUGAAAAUACUUAACUUUCCCCUAUUGUGAAGAUUAAAUUGUAACCCUUGUCUAUUUUUAAAUUUAAUCCUCAUAAGUGUAAACACGGUACUUAAAAGUUAAGUAUGAAGAUCUGCCCAUUUAGAUCUAAUCACCAAAAGUGCAAAUAUCCCACUUAAUCAUGAAGUGGGAGGUCUGUGGCCCACGUGUGUGAUAGUGGGUAAUGAAUAAGAAUCGACUGACUGCCUUCUGGGCAGUCCUAGAACAGGACUUCAACUGUGAUUGGUAGAUGUAGAAGGGGAAGACACAGGAAGUGAAGAAAGAGAAAAGGUCUUUAAAAGGAGCUGUUACUUCCUGUGAGAAUUCAAUUCUUCAUGCUUUCCAGUUGAGGCUGGUAAAGAGGGGCAGAAGGAUCUCCUGACUGGACCUGAGACCCUAUUUUCCUGGUGAGGCUGAUAAAGAAUCUGCUGACUGGACUGACACAUGGUGUUGGAGGUGAUCCAGGAGGACCUGAGAGUUCCAGCCAAGAUGACUGUGGAUCCAGGGCUGCAAGGAGGAUGGUGCAGCCCAUCAGCCUGGCAUAGGACUCGAGCCCCUGAGGUGGUCUGGACUUGGGACUGGGACCAUGACCUAUAAGAACCAAGGCGCCUAUGAACCGUAAUUCCCUUCCCCUUCUCAGACAUGGAGGUGGUGUAGGUGGUGAGAAGGAAGGAGGGUUAUUUCACCAUGCAUUGGAGGGAGAUUCUUUUUUGAGAAUUUUAUUCAUUUGUUGGUUGUAACUAUUUUUAUUUUUAUUUUUUUAAACAUUAUUUUAUUUGGUCAUUUCCAAAUAUUAUUCAUUGGAAACAAAAAUCAUUUUCUUUUCCUUCCCCCUCCCCUCCCACCACCUCUCCCAUAGCUGGUGCACAAUUCCACUGGGUAUCACAUGUGUUCUUGACUCGAACCCAUUUCUGUGUUGUUGGUAUUUGCUCUAGAGUGUUCAUUUAGAGUCUCUCCUCAGUCAUUUCCCCUCAACCCCUGUAGU